rnacentral:rRNA from 1 species
AAUCAACGCUGGCGGCGUGCCUCAGACAUGCAAGUCGAACGAUUAAAGCUCUCUUCGGAGAGUGUAUAGAGUGGCGCACGGGUGAGUAACACGUAAGUAAUCUACCUUUGAGUGGGGAAUAACCCGGGGAAACCCGAGCUAAUACCGCAUAAUGCAGCGGCACCGCAAGGUGACAGUUGUUAAAGGAGCAAUCCGCUUAAAGAGGAGCUUGCGGCAGAUUAGCUAGNGGUAAGGUAAUGGCUUACCAAGGCUUCGAUCUGUAUCCGGCCUGAGAGGGCGGUCGGACACACUGACACUGAAUAACGGGUCAGACUCCUACGGGAGGCAGCAGUCGGGAAUUUGGGCAAUGGGCGAAAGCCUGACCCAGCAACGCCGCGUGAAGGAUGAAGUAUUUCGGUAUGUAAACUUCGAAAGAAUGGGAAGAAUCAAUGACGGUACCAUUUAUAAGGUCCGGCUAACUACGUGCCUGCAGCAG